rnacentral:rRNA from 1 species
GUGGGGAAUCUUCCACAAUGGACGAAAGUCUGAUGGAGCAACGCCGCGUGAGUGAAGAAGGUUUUCGGAUCGUAAAGCUCUUUCGUUAGGGACGAACGUGCUCUUUGUGAAUAAUGAGGAGUAAUGACGGUACCUAAAUAAGAAGCCACGGCUAACUACGUGCCAGCAGCCGCGGUAAUACGUAGGUGGCAAGCGUUGUCCGGAAUUAUUGGGCGUAAAGCGCGCGCAGGCGGGAUAUCAAGUCUGUCUUAAAAGUGCGAGGCUCAACCUCGUGAGGGGACAGAAACUGGUAUUCUUGAGUGUCGGAGAGGAAAGUGGAAUUCCAAGUGUAGCGGUGAAAUGCGUAGAGAUUUGGAAGAACACCAGUGGCGAAGGCGACUUUCUGGACGAUGUCUGACGCUGAGGCGCGAAAGCUAGGGGAGCGAACGGGAUUAGAUACCCGAGUAGUCC